rnacentral:rRNA from 1 species
UACAGAGGUCUCAAGCGUUGUUCGGAUUCAUUGGGCGUAAAGGGUGCGUAGGUGGCGAUGCAAGUCUGGUGUGAAAUCUCGGGGCUCAACCCCGAAAUUGCACCGGAUACUGCGUUGCUCGAGGACUGUAGAGGAGAGUAGAAUUCACGGUGUAGCAGUGAAAUGCGUAGAUAUCGUGAGGAAGACCAGUUGCGAAGGCGACUCUCUGGGCAGUUCCUGACACUGAGGCACGAAGGCCAGGGGAGCAAACGGG